rnacentral:misc_RNA from 1 species
GUAUUGAUUGCGUGUUAUCGCAAAAAUGGGGUCAUUCUACACUUUUUAAAAAGGGGUUUGUGUGAAAACGCAAGCCCCCCUCCUGGAUCAGUUUGAUCCCGAAGGGGUGCCCACGCGGUGGUGCACAAAAGGGUGAGAUGGAUUUUAUGUGAGAGGACACACUCCGGCGUGCACAACUUUUGCGUCAAAAGUCAGCGACAGCCCUUGCAUGCGCCUCACACAUUUUGUUACGAUAAUGAUCCUUCCGCAGGUUCACCUACGGAAA